rnacentral:rRNA from 1 species
AACGAACGCUGGCGGCGUGCCUAACACAUGCAAGUCGUGCGAGAAAGUUCCUUCGGGAGCGAGUAAAGCGGCGCACGGGUGAGUAACACGUAGGUAACCUGCCCCCCAGUCUGGAACAACUAGAGGAAACUCUAGCUAAUGCCGGAUGAGACCACGAUCCCUUCGGGGGUUGCGGCCAAAGAUGGCCUCUACUUGUAAGCUAUCGCUGAGGGAUGGGCCUGCGGGCCAUUAGCUUUGUUGGUGAGGUAACGGCUCACCAAGGCUGUGAUGGCUAGCUGGUCUGAGAGGAUGACCAGCCACACUGGGACUGAGACACGGCCCAGACUCCUACGGGAGGCAGCAGUGGGGAAUAUUGCGCAAUGGGCGAAAGCCU